UACGGAGGGGGCAAGCGUUGUUCGGAAUUACUGGGCGUAAAGGGCGCGUAGGCGGCCUGCUAAGUCGAACGUGAAAUCCCUGGGCUCAACCCAGGAACUGCGUCCGAUACUGGUUGGCUUGAAUCCGGGAGAGGGAUGUGGAAUUCCAGGUGUAGCGGUGAAAUGCGUAGAUAUCUGGAGGAACACCGGUGGCGAAGGCGGCAUCCUGGACCGGUAUUGACGCUGAGGCGCGAAAGCUAGGGGAGCAAACGGG
rnacentral:rRNA from 1 species